GAAUUGGAGACAGCUGCAAAGGCGAUGACUGCAAUUCGAUUGGAAAUGCCAUUUGCAAAGAAGUGAAAGAAAGCGCGUUAUUUUCCUCACUUAAGGAGGAAGAGAACACAAGGUUUAAGUGUAAAUGCAAACCUGACCAUUACCAACUGGGGAAUACAUGUGCCAAGUUCGCAAAAGGGUUGGCGGACAAAUGCGAGGACAGGAUUGGAUGUGCUAGAAUUCAUGGAAGCAGGUGUGAUAAGGUCAGCAAGACUUGCCAGUGCUUAGAGAAGUACUUCUACCAGGUUGAAGACGUUUGCUUCAAGAAAGCAAAAGGUCUAGGAAAUCAGUGUAAGAAUGAUAAUGGUUGCACGAAAAUUGAGAACGCAGAAUGUCUGGAUUAUACAUGUCAUUGCAAGGAGAAAUUCUACAAUUGGAAAGGAGUGUGCUACAAAUAUGCAGAUGGUAAGUUUUGGG